UAGCAGCAGGAGUAGAUGAUCUCUUAAGCAAGAAAGAUCCCAUUGUCAUGCAAAUUGCUCUAGUGAUAAAGAAAGCAAUGGAAGAAAAAUGCUGAAUGGGAAAUAUGAAAUGAGCCAAAUAACCUCUCAACAGAAUGUUUUCUCAGUUUUCUAGAAGGUUUAGCAGUCUUUCAAGAUAUUUUAAAUGCUGUGGGGAGGAGGGAGAAUAAAAAGCUGGGGAGGGAGCACUGUUCAUCUGCAAGUUUGUAGGAAAGGAAGAUGGGAAGACUUCUUCAGCCAGACUGCCUCAGGAGAGCUGGGCACACUUGUCAGCCCAGCAGCCAGAGAGAGCAGGCUCUGAGGCAGAGGACCCAGAGUGAGAUUAUUCCCUCCACCUCUCAUUAUGCAUGGAAGUUUCCCCACUGACUUCAACAGAGCUGAGAUUUUAUCAUCAGUGCGUCUUUCUGUCACAAUGAGAGCACUGCUAUUCAGUUUACUACUGAGACAAUAUAA